rnacentral:rRNA from 1 species
AUUAAACGAAAGAGUUUGAUCCUGGCUCAGGACGAACGCUGGCGGCGUGCCUAACACAUGCAAGUCGAGCGGAGACUUAUGGAAGGAGACUUCGGUUGAAUGAAGUAAGUUUUAGCGGCG